AGAGUUUGAUCCUGGCUCAGAACGAACGCUAGCGGGAUGCCUCAAACAUGCAAGUCGCACGCGAAAGGGGGCAACUCCGAGUAGAGUGGCGCACGGGUGAGUAACACGUAGCUAACGUACCCUCACGCUGGGGAUAACUCCGGGAAACCGGAGCUAAUACCGAAUGUGCUGUCGAGGUCUGCGGACCUUGCCGGCAAAGCCGUAAGGCGCGAGAGGAUCGGGCUGCGGCCCAUUAGCUUGUUGGUGGGGUAAUGGCCCACCAAGGCGACGAUGGGUAGCUGGUCUGAGAGGACGAUCAGCCACACUGGAACUGAAACACGGUCCAGACUCCCACGGGAGGCAGCAGUUGGGAAUUUUGCACAAUGGAGGAAACUCUGAUGCAGCAAUCCCGCGUGAGUGAUGAAGGCCUUCGGGUCGUAAAGCUCUUUUAGCAGGGAAGAAGGGUAACUUGACGGUACCUGCAGAAAAAGCACCGGCUACUAGUGCAAGCAGCCGCGGUAAUAC
rnacentral:rRNA from 1 species